rnacentral:rRNA from 1 species
UACGUAGGGGGCAAGCGUUGUCCGGAAUCAUUGGGCGUAAAGCGCACGUAGGCGGACUGUUAAGUCGGGGGUGAAAUCCUGGGGCUCAACCUCAGAAUUGCCUCCGAUACUGGCAGUCUCGAGUGCGGGAGAGGUGAGUGGAAUUCCCAGUGUAGAGGUGAAAUUCGUAGAUAUUGGGAAGAACACCAGUGGCGAAGGCGGCUCACUGGCCCGUAACUGACGCUGAGGUGCGAAAGCGUGGGGAGCAAACAGG